rnacentral:rRNA from 1 species
UACGUAGGGAGCAAGCGUUGUCCGGAUUCACUGGGCGUAAAGGGUGCGUAGGCGGGUCUUUAAGUCAGGGGUGAAAUCCUGGAGCUCAACUCCAGAACUGCCUUUGAUACUGAAGAUCUUGAGUUCGGGAGAGGUGAGUGGAACUGCGAGUGUAGAGGUGAAAUUCGUAGAUAUUCGCAAGAACACCAGUGGCGAAGGCGGCUCACUGGCCCGAUACUGACGCUGAGGCACGAAAGCGUGGGGAGCAAACAGG